CACCGAACAAGUAAAGCUGUGCUGAAAAGAACAGUGGCCAAGAGAGGGAUAUUCUUAUACCACACACAGUCAUGCAGAUGGAAGUCUGGCCAACAAAACCAUAAAGCAUCACGUCUCACUGUGAGUCAAUCUGUCAGCUCAAGUACAAGGUGACUCAGGAAAAGACUCGUUCUGUUUUCUGGUUGUGCUCGGAUGUCUCCAGCAUUUGAUGACCCCUGGAAAUACAUGGGACCUUUACUUUGGAUCUGUGAUGCUCUGCAUCUUUAUGGGCAACAGACUGAUACUAAAAUUAUUCUGUAACCAAGGGCAAAUAAUAGGGAAUCCUAUUUGCAAUCAAAAGUUUGGGACAAAAAUGCUUGACCCAAAUAAAUAGACUCACGAUGGACUCAUCAGAAAUAUUUAGAGGUGGAGGAGAGCAAUGUCAUCAUUGUCAGGCUGUGGAGCAACAAUUUCUGCUGGCAACAGAGGAAAAUGGGACAGUAGAGCCCAUGCCUCCAACCAUCGAUUGCCCUUUAGAUAUCACAGGACCUGUUUCUCUUACCAUGGGAUCUCUGGCUUUACAACACUGGUGUCAUAGUGCCAAGAAUGUCGGUGUAAUGCGAAGCUGAAGUAUUCCUGGAUCCCUAGACUGCAGAGAGGAGAAAGCAACAGCAUCAUCUGUUAAAGGGACUGCCAACCACAUCAAUAUAUUCUGCUGAAAUCAAGCUCAUAUCACUUUCCUACUGUGUAAAAUUUUCUACACUGUAGCGGCUUCCAACAGCAAACUUUUUAUUGCUUUCAGUUGUUUGGUUAGAUAUUUAAAGGUUUAUGUUGAUGGCAAUGGCCUACUUCUAUUUUGUGUGUUCAUUUGGUAUGGUUUGACUGGGCUCAAAGGGCAGAGAUGGUCUCCUUGUUAUUAUCUGGGGUAUUGUUGUCAUACUGAGACACUUUAUAUAUCUUCAAUAUGCCUCUUUUCUCUAUAAGGUAGCCCAUUCACUGUAACCUUUCUUAUUCUGACCUCUUUAUAUGGGAGCUGGAUUACAAGAACCAGUACAGAUAGAUGGCUGGAAAUUUACAUUUGCAAUAGUCUUCUGAUGAAAGCAAGUCAUAAAACCAGUCCAGUUCAAAAGAUGGAUAAUAGCCUCAACUUCCUGAUGGGAGGAGCUGUAGAUAGAUUUCAAAGAAACAUGGCCAAAGGGAGGAAUGACUUAUGGUCCGUGUUUAACAGUCUAGAACAAUAUCCUGCUCAGCUUCCUCUUAGCUUGAUCCAGCCGUGUCUACAAUUACUGCGAUGCCAGCUGACAUCAGAGGUGUUAUAACCAGAGUAAAGCAGCCUUAACAGUGACACAUAACACACAUCUGUAUUUGAAAUGAUAUGCUUAAAAUGAUCAUGCAGCUUUAUUUUAGACUUGGUUAAGAACUUAGGAAAGAUCUUAUGUAAGAGUACUUGAGGCUUAAGUCUCAUGAGCAUAUAUGUUCACGUGUAUCUAGGUACUAAUAUCCCAACAUCUUAGUCACUCCAGGAUUCAAUGGUCCUCUUUGUCUCUUACCUAACCCAUACCAACUUGGUAUUUAGGACUGUUGAUUCAACCUCUAAGAAUAUAUUGGAAGUUCAUCAAUUUGUCGAGCACUAACAUGUUAAUCUAAGAUACCAGCCUCUCUUGUUUGGGCUGUUACAACAUAAUCCUUUCUGAUUGCCCUAAUAUGCUUUUUCCCUCUUAACAUUUACAGAGUAGUCAUAUGUGUGCCAGCCCUGCUGUGUCCAGAAGGCAUUGAUUACUUGAGGUCUUCCAGUUCCUCUGGCUCUUACACUCUUUCUGCUCCCUCUCCUAUAGAACCAUAGAGUUCCUUAAGCCCUGAAGGGAGGGAUUUGAUGGAAAUGUUCUAUUUAGGGCUGAGUGUUACAAAGACUCUACUGCCUGCAUAUUGUCUGGCUAUGGGUCUCGGU